UACGGGGGGAGCAAGCGUUGUUCGGAUUUACUGGGCGUAAAGGGCGCGUAGGCGGUCGUGACAAGUCACUUGUGAAAUCUCCGGGCUUAACUCGGAACGGUCAAGUGAUACUGUCGGACUAGAGUACAGAAGGGGCAACUGGAAUUCUCGGUGUAGAGGUGAAAUUCGUAGAUAUCGAGAGGAACACCGGUGGCGAAGGCGGCCAACUGGACAGAUACUGACGCUGAGACUCGAAAGCGUGGGGAGCAAACAGG
rnacentral:rRNA from 1 species